AGUCGGUGGGGUAACCCGCAAGGGAGCCAGCCGCCGAAGGUGGGGUAGAUGAUUGGGGUGAAGUCGUAACAAGGUAGCCGUAUCGGAAGGUGCGGCUGGAUCACCUCCUUU
rnacentral:rRNA from 3 species